rnacentral:rRNA from 1 species
GAUGAACGCUGGCGGCGUGCCUAAUACAUGCAAGUCGAGCGAACGGACGAGAAGCUUGCUUCUCUGAUGUUAGCGGCGGACGGGUGAGUAACACGUGGAUAACCUACCUAUAAGACUGGGAUAACUUCGGGAAACCGGAGCUAAUACCGGAUAAUAUUUUGAACCGCAUGGUUCAAAAGUGAAAGACGGUCUUGCUGUCACUUAUAGAUGGAUCCGCGCUGCAUUAGCUAGUUGGUAAGGUAACGGCUUACCAAGGCAACGAUGCAUAGCCGACCUGAGAGGGUGAUCGGCCACACUGGAACUGAGACACGGUCCAGACUCCUACGGGAGGCAGCAGUAGGGAAUCUUCCGCAAUGGGCGAAAGCCUGACGGAGCAACGCCGCGUGAGUGAUGAAGGUCUUCGGAUCGUAAAACUCUGUUAUUAGGGAAGAACAUAUGUGUAAGUAACUGUGCACAUCUUGACGGUACCUAAUCAGAAAGCCACGGCUAACUACGUGCCAGCAGCCGCGGUAAUACGUAGGUGGCAAGCGUUAUCCGGAAUUAUUGGGCGUAAAGCGCGCGUAGGCGGUUUUUUAAGUCUGAUGUGAAAGCCCACGGCUCAACCGUGGAGGGUCAUUGGAAACUGGAAAACUUGAGUGCAGAAGAGGAAAGUGGAAUUCCAUGUGUAGCGGUGAAAUGCGCAGAGAUAUGGAGGAACACCAGUGGCGAAGGCGACUUUCUGGUCUGUAACUGACGCUGAUGUGCGAAAGCGUGGGGAUCAAACAGGAUUAGAUACCCUGGUAGUCCACGCCGUAAACGAUGAGUGCUAAGUGUUAGGGGGUUUCCGCCCCUUAGUGCUGCAGCUAACGCAUUAAGCACUCCGCCUGGGGAGUACGACCGCAAGGUUGAAACUCAAAGGAAUUGACGGGGACCCGCACAAGCGGUGGAGCAUGUGGUUUAAUUCGAAGCAACGCGAAGAACCUUACCAAAUCUUGACAUCCUUUGACAACUCUAGAGAUAGAGCUUUCCCCUUCGGGGGACAAAGUGACAGGUGGUGCAUGGUUGUCGUCAGCUCGUGUCGUGAGAUGUUGGGUUAAGUCCCGCAACGAGCGCAACCCUUAAGCUUAGUUGCCAUCAUUAAGUUGGGCACUCUAAGUUGACUGCCGGUGACAAACCGGAGGAAGGUGGGGAUGACGUCAAAUCAUCAUGCCCCUUAUGAUUUGGGCUACACACGUGCUACAAUGGACAAUACAAAGGGCAGCGAAACCGCGAGGUCAAGCAAAUCCCAUAAAGUUGUUCUCAGUUCGGAUUGUAGUCUGCAACUCGACUACAUGAAGCUGGAAUCGCUAGUAAUCGUAGGUCAGCAUGCUACGGUGAAUACGUUCCCGGGUCU